rnacentral:lncRNA from 13 species
CCUGGGGAAUAUGUGGUGGUUUCACCUUGCCUGGAGCCCACAGUAUGGGGAGACCCCUGACUGGACAAGAGGGCCUCUGGGACCAGGGACAGAACAGGGACUUCUCUAAAGUUAUGCCCAAGAAGCAAGAUUACACAGAAUAUUCUUGAGAGGUGCAAGGUCAGGCAUAGUAGCAUCUGGUCUUCUCAAAUCAGCAUCAUCUAAAAGACACUUUAGGAGAUAAAAAUCUCACAUAUUUGGCAGCUGGGCCAUGCAAAAACAUUUGUAGUGUCUGAACAAUUUUAGUGCAGCUGUCACCUCACCCAGCUUUUACUGAGGUUGCUAUGAUGGCACAUUACUGGGAUUUUCAAAAUAGACUUAUCCAGUCUUUUACAUAUAUAUAUAAUAUAUAUAUAUAUAUUUUUUUUAAUACAUCAAUUAAAAUAUAGCCAAAUAUGCAAUAGCCAAUGCUUUUGUGGAAGAGUCAUACUAUGCCCAGUUCUGAGCUAACCUGUUUUUAUUCUUGUGGACAAUGCUUUUGAAGAUCUGAUUCUAUGCCUGAAAUGUGGGAGCUACAAUCAUGCUUGAAUACGACUUGAAUUAUAGUCUCAGGAAGGUACUCAAGAAUCUGCUUAGUUUGUUUCAGCCACGUGAUUUUUCAUGCCUGAAGAAUCAAUUUACAGCAUGACAAAAUAUAUUUCUGACAGAGAAUAUUUCGAUUGGUAACUACAGGCCUUGGAGCAAGCCCAGAGGUAAGAAAUAAAGACAAAACCUUUAAUAAUAUCAAAGAGGAAGAAGAAAAGUAGCAGUGCACAAGCUUCAGCUGCUUAAAAUAUUAAGUUGUUCCAGUAAAGCUGAAAAAAAAAUGAAGCAUUGUACAUCUACGAGUAGAAGAUAAGCUAGACAUAAAUUUUAGGGAAGAAAAGAAACAAUUCACUUAUACUUUUCUGCAGGAAUCAAAGCUAACAGUAAAUGUUAAUGUUCAUUCAACUCCUCUUUGCGAGCAAAAAAAAAGUUACAAAUAAUAAAAGUAUGAAAUUUUUGUUUCACAUAAAUACA